UGGUCCUACGGGGGGCAGCAGUGGGGGAUAUUGCACAAUGGGGGAAACCCUGAUGCAGCGACGCCGCGUGGGCGAAGAAGUAUUUCGGUAUGUAAAGCCCUAUCAGCAGGGAAGAAGAAAUGACGGUACCUGAGUAAGAAGCACCGGCUAACUCCGUGCCAGCAGCCGCGGUAAUACGGAGGAUGCGAGCGUUAUCCGGAUUUAUUGGGUUUAAAGGGUGCGUAGGCGGAAUGCCAAGUCAGCGGUAAAAUCGCGGGGCUCAACCUCGCUCCGCCGUUGAAACUGGCGUUCUUGAGUGGGCGAGA
rnacentral:rRNA from 1 species